CACGCCGUAAACGAUGGAUACUAGCUGUUGGGCGCAAGUUCAGUGGCUAAGCGAAAGUGAUAAGUAUCCCACCUGGGGAGUACGUUCGCAAGAAUGAAACUCAAAGGAAUUGACGGGGACCCGCACAAGCGGUGGAUGAUGUGGUUUAAUUCGAUGCAACGCGAAAAACCUUACCCACCUUUGACAUGGUCGGAACCCUUUAGAGAUAGAGGGGUGCUCGAAAGAGAGCCGAUACACAGGUGC
rnacentral:rRNA from 1 species